rnacentral:rRNA from 1 species
UACGAGGGGGGCAAGCGUUGUUCGGAAUUACUGGGCGUAAAGCGCGCGCAGGCGGCCCGCGAGGUGUCACGUGAAAGCCCCGGGCUCAACCCGGGAGGGUCGUGGCAAACCGGCGGGCUUGAGGCCGGUAGAGGUGGGUGGAACUCCUGGUGGAGUGGUGAAAUGCGUAGAGAUCAGGAAGAACACCCGUGGCGAAGGCGGCCCACUGGGCCGGUACUGACGCUGAGGCGCGAAGGCGUGGGGAGCGAACGGG